rnacentral:rRNA from 1 species
CGACUGGCGACCGGCGCACGGUGAGUAACACGUAUCCAACCUGCCUCAUACUCGGGGAUAGCCUUUCGAAAGAAAGAUUAAUACCCGAUGGUAUAAUCAGACCGCAUGGUUUGAUUAUUAAAGAAUUUCGGUUAUCGAUGGGGAUGCGUUCCAUUAGGCAGUUGGUGAGGUAACGGCUCACCAAACCUUCGAUGGAUAGGGGUUCUGAGAGGAAGGUCCCCCACAUUGGAACUGAGACACGGUCCAA